GGUGGCUGUAUCUCUUUGUCAUACUGGAACAGACUUUGUGAUAUUAACCAGCAUUAAUUCAUGAGAGAAGAAGUGAUUGGCAAGAAGGAUGAUGACCUGUGGGCUGAAGAUAUAAAACCAGAUGCCUCUUGUGGCUAUUUGCUUAAAGCCAGCAAGGUGUUUCCCCCUCAGAGAAUCUGACUUCUUAAGCUGUCUGAGAUAGAGGGAAAAUGGAGGCCACUGAGAAGGUUGACUGCCCACUGGAGCGGUGAUGCUGGAAUAUAUUUAAAUUGAAGAACUGGAGAAGAAGUAGAGAUGGCCCCACAAGGCAAAGGCAGCCUGAAAGGUAUG